GACGAACGCUGGCGGCGUGCCUAAUACAUGCAAGUAGAACGCUGAAGAAGGAGCUUGCUUCUCUGGAUGAGUUGCGAACGGGUGAGUAACGCGUAGGUAACCUGCCUGGUAGCGGGGGAUAACUAUUGGAAACGAUAGCUAAUACCGCAUAAUAGCAGUUAUUGCAUGAUAACUGUUUGAAAGGUGCAAAUGCACCACUACCAGAUGGACCUGCGUUGUAUUAGCUAGUUGGUGGGGUAACGGCUCACCAAGGCGACGAUACAUAGCCGACCUGAGAGGGUGAUCGGCCACACUGGGACUGAGACACGGCCCAGACUCCUACGGGAGGCAGCAGUAGGGAAUCUUCGGCAAUGGACGGAAGUCUGACCGAGCAACGCCGCGUGAGUGAAGAAGGUUUUCGGAUCGUAAAGCUCUGUUGUAAGAGAAGAACGAGUGUGAGAGUGGAAAGUUCACACUGUGACGGUAUCUUACCAGAAAGGGACGGCUAACUACGUG
rnacentral:rRNA from 1 species